UUAUCAAAAUUUUGUUAACUAACAAAAUAUGAAGUUUUAAAUUUUCUAUAUUUUGUUAGUU
rnacentral:sRNA from 1 species